ACAUGAAGACAGUUGUAGUUGUGUUCCUGGUUACAGCUUUAUUUCCUGGCAGUUUUGAAGAAGCCAGGUGGCCAACACAUACUGUUUGCAAAAAAGAUGGUCUGGAAGUAUACUAUACAAGCUGUGAUCCCUUACAGGAUUUUGGGGUGAGCUUUGAACCAUGUCCUCCUCUUCUUUCACAGAAGAUCAACAUAAGAGUCUCCCUCAUACUAAAUGCUUUAUGAACUGUGGUGGGCACUCAGGGCCCGAGAGAAAGAUAAAUUUGGCCGGAGGCCUCUUCCAUGGGUGCCCUACGGGAACCCGACCACUCACCCUGCAGAACUAAAUACGAACCACUCAGUACUCAGGUAAGGAAAAAAAACCCUACUAACGUAGUUUUUUAGGGGGAAACCUCAGGGAAUCCGUGGCCGAGGGCAGCCCUUCCUCCAGGCUCUAAGCGGUCAACUCCCGUUUCGGCCUCCCAGCACUUGACUGAGCAGCCGAAACAAAAAAAAGCGACAUGAAAGAAUAACACACAGAGCUUUUAUGCACUUGCUGAUGACUUAUUAGUUAAGGGCGAAUUCUCCUUUGCAGAAAAGCAACCAAGUUUACAAAUCUCUGAAAAGUUUUCAAUGUUUUUAAUAAAUAUGUACACCUGCUGCAGUGGUGUAGUCGAGUGUAUAUGCAGGUAAACAGUGUUUACCCACUUUUAAUUUGGGCAAGAUAGUGUUUACCCACUUCUCAUAUAAGGGAUACAGAGUUUACUCACUUCUACUCUCCUGUGAUAUGCAAAUCCUAGGAGAAAGACAACGCAUUUAUAGAAUUGUGGCACGAGCAGAGGGGCGUAGACACUGGACUGCAUGUUCUGUUCAUGUAUAUGUGUGUGUGUAUAAAAAUUUCGUAAAACAUGAACAGACAUCAAAAAUAAAAACUGAAAAAUAAAGUGAUUUAUUGUUACGAUUAGACCAGAUUUACAUGAGGUUAUAGCAUCAAUAGGUGCAUUAGUAUUAGGGUGACCACACGUCCCUAAUUGGAUGGGACCAUCCCUAAAUGUAAAGAUCAAGCCCCAGAACCGGGCUGAAUGCCUUCAGGAUGGAAUUUGUCCCGGAUUCCUAGACACAGUGCAAUCUUACAGUUUAGCGCCACAGUCAAACCAUAGCAUAUCUGUUUGGAGCCCCGCCCCUGCCGCAUAAUUUUGCAAUGCCCUACACAGCCCCAGAAUGAUUGACACAUUGGAUAGCCAACCUAAAACAUAAAACUGUAUAAUCCCACUAUCAUGUGACUUUUUACACUCACAUCACAUGUUCCCCAACAGCCUGACACUGGUCUGCUUUGGCGACAGCAAACAAAAUACAAUUUGUAGAAUAUUUUAAUUUCAUUGUUUUCUUUGUUUAUGCGAAAUGGCUGACUCUAAAAGUUGAAGUGACACUGAUUGCCGUGCUAUUAAAUUCUUCAGCAAACCACGCAGAAGUUAGAAUUGAAUAUCGGGGAUCUUCAGCACGGCUCAUUUGGCCCACAGACAAACUUGUGGUAAAGCCUAAGGCCUGUAUUCGUUAAAGGCCUUGCACUACCGGAUUAUGAAAGGUGAAAAUUGCAAAAAAAAAAAUCUGGAAGAAUUUAAUGUUUUUGAAAGACUGAAAGAAUUUUAGUUGUAUCAAAAAUAAUAAUCAUAGUUCAAACAUACGUUUCAUUCAAAUAUAGCAGCUUGAUAAGAUUCUAACUUGAAAUACAGUAGUAUUAUAAAGAUUAAAUGCAACUAGGAAUUGUCAAUUACUUUGAAUUCACCUUUGAAAGCUUCCUUAGCUUCCCAAGCUGAUGAGUAUUUCUGCUUAUAUGGUGGAGGCAUUGUGAACACCUCCUUUUUUUCAGCGCUUUCAAGCUCUAAAGCGGAGAUAAAACAGUGUAUGUCUCGCGAGUGCAGUUUCCUGGGCUUAACAACAUUGUAUAUUUUCUCCUGGGGUUGCAGCAUUUUCUUACAUUGGAACGUGAUAUUUCACAUCACAACCACAUCUGCCAUGUUUGUAAAGGGAGGCUUGGGAGGGUUUGAAUUAAUUAUGAACUUCAGAGGAUUUUAAAUAAUUAAAAAAAACUCCCAAAAAAUCUCUAAAAAUCCAUAUUUACCUUUUUAAAAAAAAAAACCUUUGUUAAAUUCUGACCUCCAGAAGUCCCUGGGUUAGGAAUAACAACCUCUAAAUCUGGAGGGAAAACAUCUGAUCUGGCAACACUGAGCACCUAAGAGAGGAAAUAACCAUAUGGGGUGGCUCUGGUUGGCCGAGAGUCAAUAACAAUGUAUCUGUUCAUGUUUAUCUGUUCAACUCCACCAAACAGGGGAGUUUACCCACUUGUUUAUUUACCACUACACCAUUGUCCUGCUGUUUAAAGCCUAAAUCUGUGGAAUAAUACAAGCACAGCACAGUAAUGCAAUACUCAUAUUGUUAUGGUUCUAAAGUCUUUAAAACAAUACUAUAAAUGGAACAAGGCUAAAUUUAAGUUACCAUUGAAUUUGUAACUGUAGCAAAAUCACAGGUUUAAAUGUCCAGGAAAACCUGGUUUAACGUUGUGCUUGUUGUUAUUUUAUUUUAAACAAAAUGCAUUCAUGCACCUUGCUCAGUCAUUCAACCUCGUUUGGCUUGAAAAAACAAACAAACUGUGCUUUAUUUAAAACAAAAAUGUUCCCAAUAAAAUUGUCUGUACUUGCUUUGAAAUCCGCAACACAUUUGUUGGUACAGUAAUUUUGCCUUCUUCAUGACCAGCACACCACUUAUAAGCAUGCCUAUCUGAUUCCAUUUCACACAUGGUUGAGUGAUUGCAUACUUCCGGUUCAAAGUGGGAUGUUCGUUUAACCUGUAAGUUUGUAAGUAUGGUGUUCGGAACUCUGAGGUUCUACUGUAAUGGACUUACUAUUAAACAUAAUUAUUGAGUGGACAAAAUACAGCUCUGGUUUGUUUUAUAUGUCAUUAUUAUUAUUAUUAUUAUUAUUAUUAUUAUUAUUAUUAUUUGAAGAUUUUUGUAAUUAUGCAAAAUCAUGUUUUUUCAGCCAGAAUUUUAUCAGCCUUUAUUUGAAUUUAUUGGAAUUUAUCCAUGUAGAAAACCAAGAUAGAAAACAAAGAGAAAGAAGGAAUGGAUUUUCUUAACUCCACCUUUCAUUAUUUAACUUUAGACCUUUAUGCCAUUUGUUUAUUUUUGGCUUAGACUUUCACGUACAAAUAUAUAUUAAUUAUAAAGAGCAGCAAAACUAAAAAAUAUUGGAUCCCUAAACGAAAGUGUUACCAAGGUAACACUUUAGUUUAGGGAUCCAAUAUAAGUGAUUAUAAGCAAUCUAUAAACAUGUUCUUAAUUAUGCUAUUAACAAUUAUAGAAUAUGAUUAGAAAUAAUAACAGCAUUAGUUUACAGUUUUGUCAUUGUUUUUUGCUCUAUUGUUUAUAAUCGCUUAUAACGGAUAUAGUCUGUCUGUCUUUUUAGGUCUGUUUGUCUUUCUAGCCCUGUCUGUCUGUCUGUUUUGCAAUACAGUUAUUAUACACUAUUGCCAUUGUUUUGUUUUUUGCUAUUGUUUAUAACCACUUAUAACGGAUCCCUAAGCUAAUGUGUUACCAAAGUAUUUUAACACAUUUUGUCUGUUAUUUAAAAUUUGCAGGACAGGAUAUCAAAAAGCUCUAUCUUACUAUUAAGGGUUUUGCCAAUGGGAAACCUGUCAUACAGUUUCAUUAUAACCUCUGUGAGCCCAGCUUUGAGAGAUUAAGUUUUUGUGGAAAAAAACGAGGAGAACUUAUUUAUUAUGAGGGAGCAGUUAAAAUACCACUGCCAAUCAUUCCUCGGGGGCGUUUUGACAUUACCUUGCUGCUGCUGAAUCAAAAUCAUUUUGGUAUUGUGUGUGCCAAUGCCACCAUUUUCAAAACAUAAGAUGUAACCAAUGUAACUGCAUGUGAACUAGACAGAAAUGCUGAUACAGCCUGAACAAUGUCAUUCUUUUAACCAUACAAAAAUACAAUCAUUUCAACCAAUUUCAAUUGAAUGCCUAAAGGUUCAAUGACAAAUAUAAGACAUAUAUUUCUUAUGUUACGUGGAAAUUAUGUUAUUGAAAGACACAAAAUAUAUGUUUGGCAACAGCCAUUACCAGAGAAUAUUUAACUAAAUGGUUUGUUUAUCAAUUUAAAAAUAAUAUCUUGAAUUUUACACUGGGGUUAAUUCAGUCCAGGUGAAAACUUGCAAUGUUUACAUAGACAAACAGACGUGUAUCAAUGAGUUACUGGUAAGCUAUGAGGCUUGCAUUUUACAUUACAAAGGGAAAAUAUACCCUGCAGGUCUGAAACAUUGAGAAAAGCUUUGACAAAGAAUUUUAUUAAAAACCAUUUUCUUUGUUUUAUGAUGUUUGCUUCAUUCUGUGUAAUGUUAAGUGUCAUUACCUGGUUUUUUUUUUUGUAGCUGUUUAUUUUUACAAGUGUUUUAAGGCUCUUUCAGGAGCUGAUCUUCAGGUCUAGUUGCCUGUUGUAGAUACAUGUAACUUGGUCUGUCAACGUGUCGUCAGUUGAUUUUCAGUCGUUCUGAAUGGUAAGGGG